GCCCCCAUAGCCCAAUCGGCAGAGGCAGCCGGCUUAAAACCGGCACAGUGUCGGUUCGAGUCCGACUGGGGGCACCA
rnacentral:tRNA from 3 species